CCCUUAGAUGUUCUGGGCCGCACGCGCGCUACACUGACGAAUGCAACGAGCUUAUAACCUUGGCCGAAAGGUCUGGGUAAUCUCCAAAUUUCGUCGUGAUGGGGAUAGAUUAUUGCAAUUAUUAAUCUUCAACGAGGAAUGCCUAGUAAGCGCAAGUCAUCAGCUUGCGUUGAUUACGUCCCUGCCCUUUGGACACACCGCCCGUCGCUCCUACCGAUUGAAUGGUCCGGUGAAGCGUUCGGACCGUGGCCUUUGGACGGUUCGCCGUCUGUUGGCUGCGGGAAGUUCGUUAAACCUUAUCAUUUAGAGGAAGGAGAAGUCGUAACA
rnacentral:rRNA from 1 species